GCACUACUCCCACCCUCCGUCCUCAAAUCAGUCCCCUCCCGCCUAAGAAGACCUUUAUUUUUCCUAGCGAAGUCAUACUGAGGGCCCCAUCAACCGAUCCCUUGCGAUGCGCAUGGGAAAAGGAGGCAGUAUAGGGACCGAGAAUCGGGCGGAUUGGGCUGGCCCUGGUAACAAAAGCCAUCCGGGUCGCCAACCGUCUUCCACUGCAAGAAACAAACCUUCCAGUGGCUGGGCUCCGCCCUUCUCCUUGGUCAGAGCCCUCCAGGCUCCUAAGGGCGAAGCCGACACCUCAUCCCUUUGGAACUUGAAGUUCUCAGUCCAAGACCUCCGUGGAGAGUGAAAGACUCAAUGCCUCCUGACCGAGGCUUCAGGCCUGCCCCGGCAGCUAGGUACCUCUCCAGGGGAUGGAACUCUGUGGGAACUGCUAUUUAAUUCUGAUGGUUAACUCUGUCAGAUGGCCUUGAUAUAUGGGAAUAAUCGUUGCAGGAGGGUAGGGGAAAUAAGAAUCGCAAGACUCUAGCACAGGACGUGUGGAUUGAUGGUGAGGCCUUUGCUCCCUCUCCCCUUGAAAUCCUCAAAGGGCAGUUCCCGAUUUCUAUCACCUUUGAAAUUCAUCCCUGAUGUCUUCUCCAUCUUUGGGAAGUGCAAUGCAAUUUCAAGCUCUUGAAUCUUCCCUCUCCCACAUUUGUCAAAUAUACUGACGCUACAAACUCCUUUCUUACAGGAAACCUGAAACUGCCAUUGAGCAGAAGGAAAACAUCCCUUUCCAGAACCUUUCUCGUUUUUCUAAAAAUCUGCACUUUUGGAAGUGAUCCCCCAAAGAGACCUCCAGACUCUACCAUGAGUGUCUCCAGCUGAACUCAUCGUGUCUAAUCCUCACCCUAGCUUAUCCUGUUCAAAUCAUUUCCAUCUUUUUCUGGAUGAACCUGGGCGGAUGUCAGACCAGAGAAGAGCACAGAAUGUACCAGAGAGGUAAGAAGACCCAUUUUGGGCUCUCACUUCUCACCCACUCCCAAGAUGGUCACCUCCAGUCUUCCCCCCUAUACCUUACCCUUUCUUCAGCUAGCCAAAACCUGCCCUGGUACUUGAGGCUUCUUCAGUUGCCUUCUUUUGCAGGCAGUAGAAUAAAGGAAAGAGGGCAGUGUCAAUAGAAGAAAAGUUACAGCCACUUUAUCUAAUUGAAGAUACUGUGCAGAGCCUUUGAAAAAACAAAAUAUCUCACCCACCAUUCCUCUCUCCGUUUCCACCCUAGCUUCCUAUUUUAGCAAAAAUGGUGGGAUCAGCACCUCUGGAGGGAAGGGGUCACUCUUCCAGGUUAGGAAUGUGGACAGGAGUUAUGGAGCUUACUUCCCUAAAGGAGGAGGCAUUCUAGUUCCGGCAUUCAGAUUCUGUCUGAUUCCAAUAUGGUGUUUGUGUGGGGUGGUCAGAGAAAGGGCAAGUCGGCAACUGUAUAUUCCUCAGCAAGAGACUAUAAGACAUUUGCAUUUGGAAAAUCAGGAGAGAUGCUGAUAUGGUUUGGCUCCGUGUCCCCACCCAAAUCUCACCUUGAAUUGUAAUAAUCCCCAUGUGUCAAGGGUGAGACCAGGUGGAGAUAAUUGAAUCAUGGGGUUGGUUUUCCCCAUGCUGUUCUCGUGUUAGUGAGUGGGUCUCACGAGAUCUGAUAGUUUUAUAAUUGCCUGGCAUUUUCCCCUGCUGGCACACAUUCUCCUGCGGCCCUCUGAAGAGGUGCCUUCCAUCACGAUUGUAAGUUUCCUGAGGCCUCCCCAGCCAUGCAGAGCUUUGAGUCAAUUAAAACUUCUUUCUUUAUAAA
rnacentral:lncRNA from 10 species